GUGUCCUGUUAAGGUUCACACGUGUCCUAAGAGGCUAACACAGACGGGUCAAUGAAAUCCCCAUAAAACCCAGAGAUGAGGCCGUAAACCUGCUCCUUGGAUCCUGUCCGGAGUCACACCU
ensembl:snoRNA